rnacentral:tRNA from 19 species
GGAGGAUUAGCUCAGCUGGUUAGAGUGCCUGCAUCACACGCAGGAAGUCUGGGGUUCGAGUCCCUAAUUCUCCACCA